rnacentral:sRNA from 1 species
GAAUUCGACAUGUGUAAUUUAUUCUUCAUAUAUUUUGAAGAAAUCGCCCCUGAAAUAGGAAAUCUGUGACGAACAGGCAGCCUUGAAUAAGACCCUGGCGCUACAAAACUAAGUAUAAUAGGAUCCAGCAUAAAAACACGACUCUGCACUCCGAAGCUAGUUCCAGUAAGAACGCACAAGCCUAUAUUGGUAUUGAUUGCAUCCAAAGCUUAAGCUGGACCGCGAGUAGGACUCGGUUAGCCGGCAACUCAUCAACCCGUGGCUGAAGCUGCUGAAGAUCACGCAAUUAUCCCGGCUUUAUGAGAAAGAGGCAGCUGGCGUUGUCCAAUCCAUCGUGCACAACCAUCAUCGACGGUUCAGUUGAACGGCAUCGAUUCAACGUAGAACAGAACAUAGCGCAAGAAGCCAAGUGAGUGGACACGCCGUGCGGUAAUAGUGUGGCAAGGGCUGUUGUCGAGGAAAAUAAGGAAAGCACUGAUGGGAAGAAAGCCUCUGGAAACGACGACGAACGCAAUGCGGAGGAAAACAAAGUCAGAACCUCACAUACAACUGUUCUCGAUUUAAACGAGGAUUGCUGGAUAGUGCUAAUGGAGUAUCUGGACGUAGAAGACCAGCUAAGGCUCGCAUCAUCGAACGUGUGUAUCGGAGAGAUGGUCAAGAGAUACGCAAGCCACCGCUACAAACAUUGAUAAAAACUCAUCAAAAGGAUUGGCAACGAAGAUAUUGGAACAGAUUGCAGAUUGUUAGGGAGCAUAGCUAACCUAUGAAGAAUAUGGGCGAUGCGCAACUGAUGCUUUUACGGAGACACUGUACGAAUAUAGAAUAUUUUAAAAAUGAGAUUUGAGCAGCCUAAUAAAGCUCACAUUUUUGCGCGCUAUUCUGCCAAUGAAUGAUAGCUUGUGUACGGAUUUUGUUUAAAAUAUCAAGCAAUUCACGUGUCUACGGAACCUGAAGUUGAAAGCUUCCUACAUGGAGGUAGCGGAUUGUAUUCGUGGACGUUGACAUGCAAUGACUGCAUCUUUCAAGAGGCGAUGCAGUUACUGCACCGUCAAGUGGCCCGU